CACCCAUGAUCUGAGGAAAGUGUGUGUCCGUGCAUCUUUUACUCAUUACUCCCCUUUUCAGAUAACUGUGGAUGAUGUGAUCCAUGGAAAUAUCCCGACCGUGGCGGCGACUGUUGGGGAGACAACGUUUGCAGCCAGCUGAAGCGUCAAAAGUUUUGGUGCGGAGAAGUCCACCUGAGCGAUCGUGACUGACCCCCACCACCUCCUCCUCCAGUGGAUUGGAAGAAAAGAUCAGACCAGAGAGUUAAGUAAGAGCCAGCACCUCCUGAUCCACUCAGCUCCUUCCUCCUCGCCGUGCUCAGUGUGAGUGAAGUGCGAGACAAAGUAAUCUUCAGAUACAUGGGGGCCAUCGCUGGUUUUAGGAUCUAUCACCGUUUUGUGGAGAAAUGGGCUUCCAUACAUAUUUGCCCACAAAAACAGAAGGGCUGUAUUUAUCAUUUAUCUUCAGCGUUGGACCCCCACAGUAUGAUGUCAUGGUCACACACACACACACACACACGCACAUCCUGCAGCUGCACAGAUCCUGCUGUUAACUCAGUUAUGAUCUCAUGCCACGGAACACUGACUCUUCUCAGAGCACAUUUGUGAUCAAUUACAGAACGAGUGAAAGUGGGAAAAAGUCGAUGUCAAACUAAUAACUGUGAGGAUCCAAAAGUGUUGCAUCCUGAGUCUCUCCCCACCCCGAAUGACACUCGAUAUAAGAGACUCUGUGAUUUUGAGGACCAUUCAAUGAUGAAGGUGCAAUUUCCUGCAAAGUGGCCCCGACCUGGUUUUUGACACGACACUUUUUGAAAUGACGGCGUGGAAGAAAAUGAGCUGUACGAUGUUCAAUUUCCACUUUUUUGGUUUAAUGUCUUUAAAAAUGGUCGUAGUGAGCUUUCUGUGUCUUUCAUUAGCUCUACUAAU